rnacentral:rRNA from 1 species
GACGAACGCUGGCGGCGUGCCUAAUACAUGCAAGUAGAACGCACAGGAUGCACCGUAGUUUACUACACCGUAUUCUGUGAGUUGCGAACGGGUGAGUAACGCGUAGGUAACCUGCCUGGUAGCGGGGGAUAACUAUUGGAAACGAUAGCUAAUACCGCAUAAGAACAUUUACUGCAUGGUAGAUGUUUAAAAGGUGCAAAUGCAUCACUACCAGAUGGACCUGCGUUGUACUAGCUAGUUGGUGAGGUAACGGCUCACCAAGGCAACGAUACAUAGCCGACCUGAGAGGGUGAUCGGCCACACUGGGACUGAGACACGGCCCAGACUCCUACGGGAGGCAGCAGUAGGGAAUCUUCGGCAAUGGGGGGAACCCUGACCGAGCAACGCUGCGUGAGUGAAGAAGGUUUUCGGAUCGUAAAGCUCUGUUGUUAAGGAAGAACGUGUGUGAGAGUGGAAAGUUCACACAGUGACGGUACUUAACCAGAAAGGGACGGCUAACUACGUGCCAGCAGCCGCGGUAAUACGUAGGUCCCGAGCGUUGUCCGGAUUUAUUGGGCGUAAAGCGAGCGCAGGCGGUUAGAUAAGUCUGAAGUGAAAGGCAGUGGCUCAACCAUUGUAGGCUUUGGAAACUGUUUAACUUGAGUGCAGAAGGGGAGAGUGGAAUUCCAUGUGUAGCGGUGAAAAUGCGUAGAUAUAUGGAGGAACACCGGCGGCGAAAGCGGCUCUCUGGUCUGUAACUGACGCUGAGGCUCGAAAGCUUGGGGAGCGAACAGG